rnacentral:rRNA from 1 species
CGAAUGCUGACAUAAGUAACGAUAAAGCGGGUGAAAAGCCCGCUCGCCGGAAGACCAAGGGUUCCUGUCCAACGUUAAUCGGGGCAGGGUGAGUCGACCCCUAAGGCGAGGCCGAAAGGCGUAGUCGAUGGGAAACAGGUUAAUAUUCCUGUACUUGGUGUUACUGCGAAGGGGGGACGGAGAAGGCUAUGUUGGCCGGGCGACGGUUGUCCCGGUUUAAGCGUGUAGGCUGAUUUUCCAGGCAAAUCCGGAAAAUCAAGGCUGAGGCGUGAUGACGAGGCACUACGGUGCUGAAGCAACAAAUGCCCUGCUUCCAGGAAAAGCCUCUAAGCAUCAGGUAACAUCAAAUCGUACCCCAAACCGACACAGGUGGUCAGGUAGAGAAUACCAAGGCGCUUGAGAGAACUCGGGUGAAGGAACUAGGCAAAAUGGUGCCGUAACUUCGGGAGAAGGCACGCUGAUAUGUAGGUGAAGCGACUUGCUCGUGGAGCUGAAAUCAGUCGAAGAUACCAGCUGGCUGCAACUGUUUAUUAAAAACACAGCACUGUGCAAACACGAAAGUGGACGUAUACGGUGUGACGCCUGCCCGGUGCCGGAAGGUUAAUUGAUGGGGUUAGCGGUAACGCGAAGCUCUUGAUCGAAGCCCCGGUAAACGGCGGCCGUAACUAUAACGGUCCUAAGGUAGCGAAAUUCCUUGUCGGGUAAGUUCCGACCUGCACGAAUGGCGUAAUGAUGGCCAGGCUGUCUCCACCCGAGACUCAGUGAAAUUGAACUCGCUGUGAAGAUGCAGUGUACCCGCGGCAAGACGGAAAGACCCCGUGAACCUUUACUAUAGCUUGACACUGAACAUUGAGCCUUGAUGUGUAGGAUAGGUGGGAGGCUUUGAAGUGUGGACGCCAGUCUGCAUGGAGCCGACCUUGAAAUACCACCCUUUAAUGUUUGAUGUUCUAACGUUGGCCCGUUAUCCGGGUUGCGGACAGUGUCUGGUGGGUAGUUUGACUGGGGCGGUCUCCUCCUAAAGAGUAACGGAGGAGCACGAAGGUUGGCUAAUCCUGGUCGGACAUCAGGAGGUUAGUGCAAUGGCAUAAGCCAGCUUGACUGCGAGCGUGACGGCGCGAGCAGGUGCGAAAGCAGGUCAUAGUGAUCCGGUGGUUCUGAAUGGAAGGGCCAUCGCUCAACGGAUAAAAGGUACUCCGGGGAUAACAGGCUGAUACCGCCCAAGAGUUCAUAUCGACGGCGGUGUUUGGCACCUCGAUGUCGGCUCAUCACAUCCUGGGGCUGAAGUAGGUCCCAAGGGUAUGGCUGUUCGCCAUUUAAAGUGGUACGCGAGCUGGGUUUAGAACGUCGUGAGACAGUUCGGUCCCUAUCUGCCGUGGGCGCUGGAGAACUGAGGGGGGCUGCUCCUAGUACGAGAGGACCGGAGUGGACGCAUCACUGGUGUUCGGGUUGUCAUGCCAAUGGCACUGCCCGGUAGCUAAAUGCGGAAGAGAUAAGUGCUGAAAGCAUCUAAGCACGAAACUUGCCCCGAGAUGAGUUCUCCCUGACUCCUUGAGAGUCCUGAAGGAACGUUGAAGACGACGACGUUGAUAGGCCGGGUGUGUAAGCGCAGCGAUGCGUUGAGCUAACCGGUACUAAUGAACCGUGAGGCUUAACCUUACAACGCCGAAG